UGUAAACAACAAUUUUUAGUGCAUGUUCAAGGUGUGUUACAGGCCCACAUCUAUAUCAGAAUCUCAAAUUACACAUUUUCAAAGUAUACUGUGUGACACAUAUAUUGUACUACAUAGUUCUUGUUUAUUUCUUGUCACCUAUUUGUUAUAUCUAAUAAUAGGAUAUUCUAGAUCAACUCCCCGCAUAGACCCGCUUCGAGGGAGGAGGAUGCAGAGGCCGGCAACAAGGAGCGGGUGUGGGUGCUCAUCCUCGCCGCUGACCACAAGUGUUGCGACAAACUUUGGGCAGAAUUCGAUGCCUCCACGGGUAUGAGCAAAUCAAAUACUGCUUACUUCUUUCUGUCUGUUGUCUGCUGGAGUAGCUAAUAGACCGCUUUAGAAUGUUGUGAGCUUGGUUAUUUUACAUUGUUUGCUAAUAUCAAGCAAAGAAUGAAUGCUGGAGUGUGUUACUGUGCUUCAUUACAAUACCUACAAAACUUUAGAAAGGGUGUUUCUGUCCACCCACAUAAAGCAAAAGAUAAAUCUAUGAUUGCGCGGCAGGCCUGAUAAUCCACACCAAACUAAUCAAAAAAGAGAUCAAUCUGUGACUUGUUGAGUAAUUAACAAACCCGGUGUUGUUGUCCACUACCAGCCGGCUGGAGGCCCCAACUCGUUUGGCUCCGUCUACGCGGUGCCAGGAGAUUAGCAGAUGGAUGCAUCCGCCGGCAGUACCAACUGCACAUCAAAGAACAACGGAUUAGUACGUUGACAGGGAUAGAAAAAUAUGAAACUCGGACACACAGAAUUUGCAGUUAUCAACAAACACUAAUUUGAAUACCUUCUAAAUCUCACAUAGUGCAGGGCUGCUCUGAAUAUCAUUGUGUUCCAUAAAUAAUGUUCCUUUCUUAGUCUACUAACGGGUGCACAAUCCAUCGACCACCAUAAUCCUCUGUCACAUUAAAGCUGUCCUACAUCAUCAGAUUAGAGUCUCUGCUCUUGUUGAUAAAUUGUGUAACACUCUGAAACACAACGAUAUUUUUUUACUCGUCAGAUUCAGAUUAGAGUCUGUUUUUUUACUUUGAAACACAAAAAGAACAUUGUCCCAUUGUCAAUGGAGUAAAGAAAGAAUAGAUUAUCUUCAUGCCCCCGUAUUUAUGAAAAAUAUUUAUUCAACAAAAACAUGUCUACCUGCCCACUUCAUUGCAAACCAACUCACGUGUGCAGCAACAUUAUUUAUUAAUUAAUGUAAAAUAUGUCUGCCACUCAACUAAGUUUAGAACCAAAUGGACAACUAUGAAGAAGCAUAAAUAUUUUGUAAUCAUUUUUGGCUUCCCUUACAUGUUGUAGGCAGCAUACGAUACUUAUCUGAAAUACCUAAAGGCACAAGAAAAGCUAGUGAAGAAUGAAGAAACUUUAAUCUAACCUCGCUCAAUGUGGUGUAUUUCCUUGAGCACCCAUGCGAGUGUCUUAGCUCUUCUUCGUACGCAUGGGGCACGAGCAUGUUCUCCAAGGAGGACAGUAGCUCUCACCCACGACCUCCUCGAUGUCGUUGGCGAAGUAGUAGAGGGUGACAGCAUGGAAUUGCUUGGUCGCUUUUGUGGGUGACCUCAAGGCGCUGCUAGUGGGAGGUCACAGACAAGCGCGUGCUGUCGGUGAAGGUGGAUCUAGAGAACAAGAAUUCAACCUAAAACCAGACGAAGGUGGGAGGUGGGACAAAAAAAACCCGGAACGGAGACAACCAAAUGCUUCAUUACCGAAAAGGCUCGUGCCCCGCUUUAUACAUAAAGCAACGAUCACCAUACAUACCAACACAUACAACUCACCCCACAACACACACACAAGGCAAGAUACAAGGGUGUAUAUGAACUGGUAGAUCACCCCCAUCCACUCCAAGCAACUACAUGUAGGCAGGGAUAGCACCACUUGUAGUCUCCGCAGACCUCAACCGUGAGCGAGUCACCGUGAAGAGAGAGAGAGCUGUGCACGACAAGCCGAACACUCCAAGGCGGUGCCUUCAAGAAGGGCACGACACAGGAGUAUCACCACCGCCCGAUCCCAAGAUCAAGGUUUCCUUCAAAGCAAUCGGAGCAUGUAUAGGAGCCGCGACGACGCCUUCAAGAAGGAGGCACCGCCCAUAGGCGACGUCGCCGUCGGCUUGGCAGAGCCAAAGCAGGUUUUCACCCCGGGAAGUCCUCACAGCCCCCGAGGCGAGGCACAACAAACCAGGCCCGCCGGACCUACCCCUCCGGUUGUCGCACCCUGACCACCACACCCCCCGCACGGUCACAGUAGCUAGCUCACACCCGAGCCGCGAGCUCCGCCCAUGAGCCCACGCCUCCCACCUCCAGGGCCGCCGCCCCAACACCCAUGGUCCCGACACCAUCCCCUACCGAAGCUUGCAGCCAUGACAGGCAAAGAGACGGGCGGGAAGGCACCUCCUUCCCUGCCCUUGGACGGUCCUGUUGGAAAUAUGCCCUAGAGGCAAUAAUAAAUUGAUUAUUAUUAUAUUUCCUUGUUCAUGAUAAUCGUUUAUUAUCCAUGCUAGAAUUGUAUUGAUAGGAAACUCAGAUACAUGUGUGGAUAUAUAGAUAGCCCCAUGUCCCUAGUAAGCCUCUAGUUGACUAGCUCGUUGAUCAAUAGAUGGUUAUGGUUUCCUGACCAUGGACAUUGGAUGUCGUUGAUAACGGGAUCACAUCAUUAGGAGAAUGAUGUGAUGGACAAGACCCAAUCCUAAGCCUAGCACAAGAUCGUGUAGUUCGUUUGCUAAGAGCUUUUCUAAUGUCAAGUAUCAUUUCCUUAGACCAUGAGAUUGUGCAACUCCCGGAUACCGUAGGAAUGCUUUGGGUGUACCAAACGUCACAACGUAACUGGGUGGCUUUAAAGGUGCAUUACAGGUAUCUCCGAAAGUGUCUGUUGGGUUGGCACGAAUCGAGACUGGGAUUUGUCACUCCGUGUAAACGGAGAGGUAUCUCUGGGCCCACUCGGUAGGACAUCAUCAUAAUGUGCACAAUGUGACCAAGGAGUUGAUCACGGGAUGAUGUGUUACGGAACGAGUAAAGAGACUUGCCGGUAACAAGAUUGAACAAGGUAUCGGGAUACCGACGAUCGAAUCUCGGGCAAGUAACAUACCGAUUGACAAAGGGAAUUGUAUACGGGAUUGAUUGAAUCCCCGACAUCGUGGUUCAUCCGAUGAGAUCAUCGUGGAACAUGUGGGAGCCAACAUGGGUAUCCAGAUCCCGCUGUUGGUUAUUGACCGGAGAACGUCUCGGUCAUGUCUGCAUGGUUCCCGAACCCGUAGGGUCUACACACUUAAGGUUCGAUGACGCUAGGGUUAUAGGGAAUAGAUAUACGUGGUUACCGAAUGUUGUUCGGAGUCCCGGAUGAGAUCCCGGACGUCACGAGGAGUUCCGGAAUGGUCCGGAGGUAAAGAUUUGUAUAUGUGAAGUCCUGUUUUGGUCACCGGAAAAGUUUCGGGUGCUAUCGGUAACGUACCGGGACCACCGGGAGGGUCCCGGGGGUCCACCAGGUGGGGCCACCGGCCCCAGAGGGCUGUGUGGGCCAAGUGUGGGAAGGGACCAGCCCCUAGGUGGGCUGGUGCGCCUCCCACAAAGGGCCCAGGGCGCAGGAAGGGGGAAGGGGGAAACCCUAGGCUCAGAUGGGCCUAAGGCCCACCUAGUGGUGCGCCCCCCCUCUCUCCCCCCUUGGCCGCCCCCCUAGAUGGAUCUAGGUCUGGCCGCACCCCUUGGGGGAGAAACCCUAGAGGGGGGUGCAGCACCUCCCCCUCCCCUAUAUAUAGUGGGGGUUUUGGGGCUGCCAUACACAUGAGAACAUCUCCCUCAUAGCGCAGCCCUACCCCUCUCCCUCCUCGUCUCUUGCGGUGCUUGGCGAAGCUCUGCUGGAGUGCCACGCUCCUCCACCACCACCACGCCGUCGUGCUGCUGUUGGACGGAGUCUUCCCCAACCUCUCCCUCUCUCCUUGCUGGAUCAAGGCGUGGGAGACGUCAUCGGGCUGCACGUGUGUUGAACGCGGAGGCGCUGUGGUUCGGCGCUUAGAUCGGAAUCAACCGCGAUCUGAAUCGCUACGAGUACGACUCCUUCAUCCCCGUUCUUGCAACGCUUCCGCAUCGCGAUCUACAAUGGUAUGUAGAUGCACUCCCCUUUCCCUCGUUGCUAGAUUACUCCAUAGAUUGAUCUUGGUGAUGCGUAGAAAAUUUUGAAUUUCUGCUACGUGCUCCAACAGGUCCCCAGGUCCGAGGCCCACCCCCGGGACGGCCGCACUCGGCCGCCACCGCCCCGUCCUGCCAGGCCGUGCAAGGACGAGCUCCCCGGUGCGCCACCUGACAGGAGGCAAGGAUGGUUCCGUGGCCCUCCCGGCGUCGGAUCCAUCCCUCAACUGUGGCCAUCGCUGGGAAAGGUCCAGCCCUAUGUCGCGACAUGUGCAAGCUCAGCAGGGGCUGGAUUGGAGCCGCACUCAGACCUGCGCCGUGGCUGGACAAGAUGAAUCUCACCAGCGGCCGCUAUCCACCACCAGUGACCACACAGCCGGACGACGAGGUGCAGCGGCGACCCAAGCCGCCGCCCGCCGAGCUCCCGCGCGUGCCGAGCCACCCAGGCCACAGCUGAGCCAGCGCAACCCGCGGGCGCAGCCGCUACUAGAUCUGGGCGCGCACAAACACAGCCGCCGGCAACAUCGCAGCCACCCCCCGCCGUAGAGCCACCCGUACGAGCACCUGGCCAGGCGUCGCCGCCCCACACUCAGAUGCCACGUCGUCGUCCCCCCUACUCGCACGGCACCUUCGCCGGCCACGCCAUCCUGCGCCACAUGCGGCCACACGGUGAAGGGAAGACCCCCCCCCCCCCACACACACACACCGCCGGAGCCGACCGGGCUUCGCCAGCCUUGCUCGCAGGCGGCGGCAGGGGAGGGGAGAAGGGGAUGAGGAGGGGGUCCCGGCGGCGGCGGCACAAGGGUUUCUCCCGUGACGCGCGUCGCGGGAGGAGGACGGAGGGGACAUACUUCUCCCGGCUUUUAUUUUCCAACUGCUCCAUUAGGAGUAGAGAUAUGUCUAGAUAUAUGAUUGUAAUAUUCUACCAUUACUUUAUUUUCUUCCUUUACCUCACACUGUAAAGCCGAGACAAACAAUGUGACCUCACCUAAUCUCUGAUCCCCACGGCAAUUGGGUAUCUCUCUAUCCUCCUCUCACCACAAAGCAAAACUCAAGAGACAAUGAAAAAGGGAGGGAACAAAAAAUUCUCACUCAUUGAAGUAUCUUACCUAAUUAGAGAAACUAAAAAAGGCCAAAAGGAAGUGUCCAUUAAAAGGCUAGCAAGUACCAUUAUAUCUAGCUCUCUUUCUGCAGGGCUUGCUGCAGAAGAGAUGGGCUCCUAACAAACCUUCCCUCAAACAACAAAAAACAGAUGACAUGAGUAAACCUGUGGACUCUGUUUCAACAAAGCAGAUACGUAGACGAUGGUAAUCUACUGUGAGGAGUGAGCUUUUCCACCGCUUGGCUUACAAAUAUUAUAGAACUUUUUAUUCUUUCAAGCACCAGUUCUAGUAGAAUGCACGUGUACAUACAGAACAAUUUCUAACAGUUAUUCACCCACAUGUUUACCAGAAUGUAAAAAAAGAUAAAAGAAACUCUUAGAGCUAAAAUGAUCUCAUGUAAUCUAGGCAGUAGGUUUGCUCGGACUCACUAUUUAGUUAUUUUCCUUGCAAACUAAUUUUUAGUACUUCCAUUUUUAUGGGUGACUGGAGUAUCAGUGAUACUCUUAAAAGGUGCGUACUUCAGUCUAGCAUAUGAAACAUCAUCUGCCCCCUAAACAUUUAAAAGCAAGUAAAAUUUAAUUUUGUUGUAUGGCCUAAUUACCUGAGAUCCUCCACAAUUAUUCAGUGCAUAACCAAGCCCAUAUAUCUGGUUUGAUAAAUCUUCUAUAGUUUCUUAUCCCUGUUAACUGUGCCUGCCUUGCAACUCUGAAUCUUCAA
rnacentral:lncRNA from 1 species